rnacentral:ncRNA from 1 species
GGAGCGUUCCGCCUUAGAGGGAAGCAACCGCGAAAGCGGGGGUCGACGAAGCGGAAGCGAGAAUGUCGGCUUGAGUAACGAAAACAUUGGUGAGAAUCCAAUGCCCCGAAAACCCAAGGUUUCCUCCGCAAGGUUCGUCCACGGAGGGUGCGGCAGGGCCUAAGACCAGGCCGAAAGGCGUAGUCGAUGGACAACAGCAACAGGUCCAGGUCAAUAUUAAUAUUCCUAUUCCUGUCCUGUACUAC